CGUUCUGCAGAUUUGGGGAAAUUUUCUUGCGAUGCAAGAAUCCUGCUUUAGUACUAAAACCCUUACAUACAAAUCGGAUCACCAUCGUAAUCAUCUCUUCAUAUCCACUUGAUUCAUGCAAUUUUAGAGCUUUUGAGAUUGGAAUACCAAUCAGAGAAACGGAAUUCAUCUUUAAAUGGCUUUAACCAACUUUAUAUUGACGGUGGUCGGAGUAAGCGCCGUGUUUUUACUGAUGAGGAGCGAUGUCAAACAGUCUGCCUCAAUCUUCAAGCGUAACGUUCGUCAAAUUCGCCAUUGGCUCGAGGAAGAGUCAGCUUCUGCCGCUAAGGAAAUAGAAAAGGCAAAGCCAAAGGAGAUACCGAAGAAGGACAUCCCCAAGGAGGACAAACAGUAGAUGUGACUCGUGCUGAAAUUCUUAUCAGAAGCUGUGCAAUUUCCCACCUAGUGUUUGGCAUUUUGGUCCGUAAAAUAUUUGACACCGACUAUCGUUUUGUAGCCCCUCAUGUAGUUGCCACUUUAUGGUUGCCAAGGUUAUGACAUUAUAAUAUACUUUCAUUCUUCUAGUAUUUAUUAAGAUGUACAUCAAUUAUGCAGUAACAUAAAAGAUACUUGAAGAGAUCUGCAAGAUAUUGUGACACUUGUUAUGGAAUUAUUGGAUUUAAUGCAAAAACCGGUUUAAU